rnacentral:rRNA from 1 species
UACGAAGGGGGCUAGCGUUGCUCGGAAUCACUGGGCGUAAAGCGCACGUAGGCGGCUUUUUAAGUCAGGGGUGAAAUCCUGGAGCUCAACUCCAGAACUGCCUUUGAUACUGGGAAGCUCGAGUCCGGGAGAGGUGAGUGGAACUCCGAGUGUAGAGGUGAAAUUCGUAGAUAUUCGGAAGAACACCAGUGGCGAAGGCGGCUCACUGGUCCGGUACUGACGCUGAGGUGCGAAAGCGUGGGGAGCAAACAGG